GACGAACGCUGGCGGCGUGCCUAAUACAUGCAAGUAGGACGCAGUUGCGAACGGGAGAGUAACGCGUAGGUAACUACCUAUUAGAGGGGGAUAACUAUUGGAAACGAUAGCUAAUACCGCAUACUAGUAGAUGGACCUGCGUUGUAUUAGCUAGUAGGUAGGGUAAUGGGCUACCUAGGCAACGAUACAUAGCCGGACCGGGGGGGUGGUCGGCCACACUUGGACUGGGACACGGCCCAGACUCCUACGGGAGGCAGCAGUAGGGAAUCUUCGGCAAUUGGGGGAACCCUGACCGAGCAACGCCGCGGGAGUGAAGAAGGUUUUCGGGUCGUAAAGCUCUGUUGUGAAGGAAGCGGUACUUAACCAGAAAGCGACGGCUAACUACGUGCCAGCAGCCGCGGUAAUUC
rnacentral:rRNA from 1 species